rnacentral:lncRNA from 1 species
GUAGUCCCAUCCACCACACUACCAGGUGGGUGGUAUAGAGGAGACGGACCCACUGGUUGUCCUCUAGGUUACAGAGAGCUGGUAGUCCCAUCCACCACACUACCAGGUGGUAUAGAGGAGAUGGACCCACUGGUUGUCCUCUAGGUUACAGAGAGCUGGUAGUCCCAUCCACCACACUACCAGGUGGGUGGUAUAGAGGAGACGGACCCACUGGUUGUCCUCUAGGUUACAGAGAGCUGGUAGUCCCAUCCACCACACUACCAGGUGGUAUAGAGGAGAUGGACCCACUGGUUGCCCUCUAG